rnacentral:siRNA from 1 species
GAGGGAAGAGGUCAAUAACGGAAA